GGGAGAUCAGACAGAAAAAGGAAGAGAAGCAAAAUACUCUGAGGUUUCCUUAAAACAAAACCCUUGACAAAACCUGGAGAGAAACCUGACAGAGAACUCAGAGCAACCCCCAGGAAGCUCUGAAAAAUUCAAUCUGACUCACACACUUUCAUCUCACGCAAACCCUAACAUUGCCUUGCAAACCCAGCCGUGCCAUUUGAUUUC
rnacentral:lncRNA from 1 species